rnacentral:sRNA from 1 species
CCUCUUACCCAUGUCUUUUGAGUACCUUCGUUUCCUCGGUGGGUUCGCCCGCCGAUCGGACAACAUUCAAACCCUUUGCAGUUGCAAUCAGCGUCUGAAAAAACAUAAUAGUUACAACUUUCAACAACGGAUCUCUUGGUUCUGGCAUCGAUGAAGAACGCAGCGAAAUGCGAUAAGUAGUGUGAAUUGCAGAAUUCAGUGAAUCAUCGAAUCUUUGAACGCACAUUGCGCCCCUUGGUAUUCCAUGGGGCAUGCCUGUUCGAGCGUCAUUUGUACCUUCAAGCUCUGCUUGGUGUUGGGUGUUUGUCUCGCCUCUGCGUGUAGACUCGCCUUAAAACAAUUGGCAGCCGGCGUAUUGAUUUCGGAGCGCAGUACAUCUCGCGCUUUGCACUCAUAACGACGACGUCCAAAAGUACAUUUUUAACUCCGGCGAGUGAAGCGGCAACAGCUCAAAUUUGAAAUCUGGCGCCUUUGGCGUCCGAGUUGUAAUUUGCAGAGGGCGCUUUGGCAUUGGCAGCGGUCCAAGUUCCUUGGAACAGGACGUCACAGAGGGUGAGAAUCCCGUACGUGGUCGCUAGCCUUUACCGUGUAAAGCCCCUUCGACGAGUCGAGUUGUUUGGGAAUGCAGCUCUAAAUGGGAGGUAAAUUUCUUCUAAAGCUAAAUACUGGCCAGAGACCGAUAGCGCACAAGUAGAGUGAUCGAAAGAUGAAAAGCACUUUGGAAAGAGAGUUAAAAAGCACGUGAAAUUGUUGAAAGGGAAGCGCUUGCAGCCAGACUUGCCUGUAGUUGCUCAUCCGGGUUUUUACCCGGUGCACUCUUCUACGGGCAGGCCAGCAUCAGUUUGGGCGGUUGGAUAAAGGUCUCUGUCAUGUACCUCCCUUCGGGGAGAUCUUAUAGGGGAGACGACAUGCAACCAGCCUGGACUGAGGUCCGCGCAUCUGCUAGGAUGCUGGCGUAAUGGCUGUAAGCGGCCCGUCUUGAAACACGGACCAAGGAGUCUAACAUCUAUGCGAGUGUUUGGGUGUCAAGCCCGAGCGCGUAAUGAAAGUGAACGGAGGUGGGAACCUUUCGGGGUGCACCAUCGACCGAUCCUGAUGUCUUCGGAUGGAUUUGAGUAAGAGCAUA